rnacentral:rRNA from 1 species
AGCAGCCGCGGUAAUUCCAGCUCCAAUAGCGUAUAUUAAAGUUGUUGCAGUUAAAAGCUCGUAGUUGAAUUUUUGAUUCUGCCAAUUGGUCCAUCUUUUAGAUGAGUACUGGUUGUGUGGGGUCUAUCCGCCUGGUGAUACGUAAUGUCCUUUAUUGGAUGUUGCGGGUAGUCAGGACCUUUACCUUGAAAAAUUAGAGUGUUUAAAGCAGGCUUAUGCCGGAAUACAUUAGCAUGGAAUAAUAGAAUAGGACGAAGUUGUUUUAUUUGUUGGUUUCUAGGACAACCGUAAUGAUUAAUAGGGAUAGUUGGGGGCAUUAGUAUUCAAUUGUCAGAGGUGAAAUUCUUGGAUUUAUUGAAGACUAACUACUGCGAAAGCAUUUGCCAAGGAUGUUUUCAUUAAUCAAGAACGAAAGUUAGGGGAUCGAAGACGAUCAGAUACCGUCGUAGUCUUAACCAUAAACUAUGCCGACUAGGGAUCGGGCGAUGUUGUUUCCAUGACUCGCUCGGCACCUUAUGGG